UACGUAGGGUGCGAGCGUUAAUCGGAAUUACUGGGCGUAAAGCGUGCGCAGGCGGUUCGUUGUGUCUGCUGUGAAAUCCCCGGGCUUAACCUGGGAAUGGCAUUUGGGACUGCAAGGCUGGAGUGCGGCAGAGGAGACUGGAAUUCCUGGUGUAGCAGUGAAAUGCGUAGAUAUCAGGAGGAAUACCGAUGGCGAAGGCAGGUCUCUGGGCUGACACUGACGCUCAUGCACGAAAGCGUGGGGAGCAAACAGG
rnacentral:rRNA from 1 species